GCCUCAGCCUCUCGUGAUCAAAAUCGAGGAGCCAGUCGCCCCUGGAGGCGCGAUCCCAAGGGGUGUAGAGCCGCAGCCCCUCAAAAGCUUCGACAACAGGGUCAAGGAUCGCGAUGCGGGUGGAGUGGAUAGGAACAUGAAUCUGCUCAAGUCCCACUCUCAUGGUAACGAUGAAGUCCAGGCUCCCGAAAUGCACAAGCACACCCGGGGCCCAUCCUCCGGCAUGAUUGGCCAUCCGCAGCUUGAUGAGGUCGUCGAGACGUGCAAAGGCCCCUACCUGGCGCGCCAACUGUCGGUGCCUCGAACCGCCAACUAGUGAAUUUUGUGAUUGCGCGUCUGGCCAGAAUGUUGUGUAAGAAAGACACGAGGGUUUAUACUGGUUCGGGCAGAAUGUCCCUACGUCCAGUUUGAGCCGCUUGUGCUCUUGCACUAAGUUUGCAGUAGGGGUUACAAACAGGCGAGAGAGUGAAAGGGCUUCCAAGUCUCUGGUGGAGCGCGCGCAUGUGAACGUGAGUGUGGGAGUUUCGUCCCCCCGGCCAGGGGGUCCCCCUUCCGCCUUUAUAUGUUAAAGGGAAGGGAGUGGAUACCAGGGAGAGGUAGAGGGAGAGGGAGAGAGAGGGGGAGAGAGAGAUUCCCGGGAUCGUGCCGCCUCUCCUAUUCUUCGUGUGGGCCCCACUAGCCCUGUAGAUGAUGACGGAGGCGCUCCCAUGCCGCGCCCUGGUGCGAUGUGCGGUGUGCGCCCAAUUGGAACGGGCGGCGCGGGUCCGCAGGGUCGCAAGACAGGCAACGUGUGCCAUAGACAGUGGCGUGAGCCCCCGGCGUGUUUUACAGCUUGACCCGUGGCGCGGUGGAUGACCGGGGGUUGUCGUAGUAGCCUGUAUUUUUCGGAGGUCAUGGCGUUGCAAGUCCUUACCCAUCUUUACGCCAAAGGUUCGUCCCCCGGCGUGGCCUGUCACUUUGUGAGGCCCUAGGGGCCCUGACUCUAGGGCGGCCGCACCCGACCCCUCACCCUUGGGGUCGGGCGAGGCGUACGCACCCGAUCCCUCACCCUUUUGGUUGGGCGAGGCGGCCGAGCCCUUCACUAGUGCUUAGCAUUGGGCCAUCGGCGCGCCUUCCCCUGGAUGGCCAUUUGUGGCAAUUUGGCAGCCCAGCUAGCCCAAGCCGCGUACUUCGGGGGAGCUAAUCCGUGAUCAGCUUUCUAAAGAACAUUCUUUUGGGGACCCGUGAUAUUUGCCUCCGACUGGGUAUGGUCCCGCCUCGUUCCACGAUCUCUUCUCUAACAACGACCUCCUGAACUAAGGGUCAAGCGUCGGUGACCUGUCGCCCAGAGUUGUCCCGCAUUGCGGGAAUACGCCAUAGCGGACAUGCAGGGGCGACAGUUGGUCCCGGUGGAGACCGACGACAAGCACACCCCGCCAGACCCGCGCACACGGGCUCUGGCUAACGCCCACGCGCAUGGCGAGGACUUACGUCAGCGAUGGCAACACCAGCCGCCGCCCGUAUCGGUGCACCCCCGAUGCAACUCCGAGCUAAAUGCUCGGAACGUUGCGAGCGCCGGCGCGCCUGUCAAGUCCAGCAGGCCAUCAUCGCAGACGCCAACUACCCCCCGCAGUUUGCGCGAGCUGGGCAGAACAUCACUGCCGCAGCGAUGCUCCUGCGCAACCUACCCGAGCUGCAGACCCUCAACAGCAGGAGCUCCACCGCAGCAUCCGGAUGUUGGUGGAGCGUGCCGCCGUGCCACAGGCGGAAAGCUCCGUGUCACACCACCUACACGCGGCCUCCUGCCCAGUGCCCAGUCGGGGGGGGGGGGGGCAGACUCGCAAUAGCCAAACCCCUCAGUCCACCAGCGGCACGGGCUUUCACCCCAGGCGGGUCGUGAUGCCGCGGCUGCAUCACGCCCCGACCUGGCGCCCGCAACGCAGCGCCCCCCGGUGCGUGGCCAGCUCGGGCCCAAUUACGACACGUGCAGCAUCAUCCACUCGGGGCAACUGGCCCGCGGCGGCGCCGAUGUCGACCGGGCCCGUCACUCGAGCCAUCGAGGCAAGUGAUGCCGGCUCAGCCCCUCCGGUCACGGAGACCGCAAACGGGGUCACCUCUAUGCAUGCACGCACACGAUGCCACCGGACCAACCGCCCUCCUUUGUGACAAAGGUCGCGGCGAGUCGGAGUACCAUGUUUCUACUCGGAAAGGACGGCAAACUUCUAGCUCCUGACCGAACUCGCAGUCGGGUGCGGCAGACACAAAGCACACCAGAAUAAAUGCACUUUAUUCGUGGCAAACAAAUAUUACAAAUUAAGUUGGCCCAUGGCCGCUACAAAGUACAAAAACUUAUUACCACCACAAGGGUAGUAAUGUUGGAAGCCUUGAGGAGGGCUGCUACAAGUGCGGAAAGAUUGGGAGGAGCAUCUUUCAUCUUUCUCGCAAGCCUUCUUCUUGCACCCCUUCCUCAAAGGCAACUUGGCAGGGGACGCCGGUGAGCAAUCCACUUGCCGCCACCGCCAACUGAGCUCCCUCGCCGUCUCAAGCGACAACGAGGAGCUCUCUCUCCCAGGCAGCUCCCGCAGGCACACCCCGCACCAGGAAGGGAUGAGGAGUUCCUCCCCGUACCCGGACCCAGCCAGUGGAAGCAUUGACACAUCCUUCGCCCGGAGUUGACGCCUCCCCCGUGGUCGCCUAAGGCGCCUGAUGAAGCUGCAUCGACUGCCUGAUGGAGAUGGUGCCCUGCCUGCGUACCCACUCCCCUCGAUCAUCUGAGCGGAGCACUCGGAGGACCGAGCUUGGGAGAGGCCCGGGCGGCCGGCGUCGCCCGCGUGUUAUCCCUUGCCGCUCGCAAGCAUUCUUCUACCAGAUGCUGAAGGAACCACCGACCCUGUCAGGUGGACGCACAUAAGCUAAGAGCAACUCCAUUGGACAAGAUAAGGCUCACUCAUGACUCAGGUUCUUGGUGAGAUAAAAAAGGAGCCCCGGAGGCCUCUAUAUAUGGCCACCCAGGCGCUCCCCUGCCUCGCGAGCCAGCCUCACCGCAUGGCGCGCGGCUCCACGUCAAAAGGAUGGAAACCCUCACGGGGGAACAGGGAAAAACUCCCCCGCGGCGGGCCGACAUGACAGAUCGGGCAGACCUCGAUAUUCCGCACCAAAAGCAGGUUGCUGGUACCACUACGGCGCUCUUGUUACACGGCCUGAUCAAGGCAACCCUGAUUGACUCGCGGUCACAAGGGGAGCCUCUCCUACGCGGUGUCUCUCUGCGGCUGAGGCAGAGUGAUGCGACAUCUCACUCUGAGUAAAAGCACGAUGCAGUGAGAAUAGCGCCUUCGCGAUUAAACAAAUCGCAAAGCUGCUCGGGCGCCUCUUACGGGUCCAGGGACCUGGGGUCCCCAGCAGACCCACUUCCUGCUAGCACUCUGGAUAGCCUAAGACCACAUGUGAAUCAAAUGACCACCCUCUUGGCCGUGGCUUUCUCCAGGGCGUCCAGGCCCACGGUCCUGACUGGCCGUUCGGUCGGCUGGAGCCUCGACCCGCGUCCCUGACCGAGGGGACGACCAAGGCCAGUCCGUACCAUGGUCCUGCACUAAGACGCUGGCCGAACUCCGCGACGCACGUGUCACACACGUGUCACUAUCCCCGACUGACGAGGUUGGGGGCCGGCCGGACCUCGCACACUGACCGUCUUCGUGGCCAGGUGCUGAGGAUAAGGAUGGACGCACGAGAGUCAACUACCAUACAUGGCCAACCACUCCCCCACGGGGGUUAUAGUCCCUCUUAUUGCCAUUACAGGGGAGCACUAUUUCACCUGCCCAUCCUCGUGAAUGGACGGGACGCAACGUCAUCACGACGCAAAGAGCACGCCCCCAUCAUGACGGAAUGACGGGGCAUAACACCAAGGACAGAGCGUGACCACCAUACCAUACCUACCAACGCACGCCUACCUCUCCGACUGGCGAAGCACGACACACAUGGAAAGAACAAGACGACCACUCCGCGAUGCAGGACUUGGACGGUGGCCGUCCAAGGACCCCGACUGACGGAGUUGGCGGUCCCGACUGAUGGAGCUGACGACCUCGAUCGACGGGGCAAGGAAGCCCCCUCUCCCUCUCUCUCUCUCUUUCUCUUUCUCUACCUCUAUUUUCCUACCCUUAGUUUACAGGAAGACCCCCCUUGAACUAUAAAAGCGAGGGUCAGCCGCCUACGAAAAGGAGAUCGAACCGGAUCGAAAUCCAAGUGAUUCAUCGUCCACUCGAAAGUUUGUAACCCCCAAACUUUCACGAGCACCCAGGUUCAAGUAAUACAUCCGAGCAACCCCCGACUAGACGUAGAGUAAGAUUGCUUGAACCAGUAGAAAUCUUGAGUCACUGUGUGUUGGCCACCUCCAAUCACGACGCGCAAUACACAAUUCAAAUAGAUUUAGCUAGCGGCCAGUUUCGGAACCGACACUUGUCAUACAACACACAUAUAUCCUCUAGUUAUUCUUCUCAUCUAAAAUGCUAGAUUAGCAGAGAAUAAUAAACCUAUAUAGAAUGUGUUUUUCAUUAUUUGAUGAUGCAUCAAUAAAUAUAUUUUUUAAAUAAAUAUGAUGAAUUUUUUAUUGAGUAAAGAGAAGCAAUUUGUAAAAUGGAAAUACGAUAAUAGUUGGGAGUAAAAAUAAAUACAAGGAUUAUAAAGCUCUAAGAUCGAAAAAAAAUUCCCUGUCCACAGUAGAUUUUGUCCUGAAUAAGGGUGUACUAUUGAGGGGCACACAGCACACGGCAUGUUUCGUGAAAUCCAAUUCGCUACUAGCAAAACCGAAGUAUUCUUUGUAGGUCAGCCUUCCUUCCAGGGACCGAACAGACGGGUAGGGUUCCUUGCGGCCGAAGCGGCCACGCACGCCUCUACGCCUCCCAUUAGUCCAUUACACAGACCCACACCACGGCACCGCUAGACAGCCCACCCUCCACCUCGCGCCUCCAAAACCCUUCCCUCUCCUCACCCCGUCCUAGGGUUCGCGCCGCCGCGUCUUGCCGCGCCGCGCCGCCCCCGCCGCAGCCAUGGGGUCGUCGCUCCCGCCCAAGGAGGCCAACCUCUUCAAAGUCAUCGUCGUAAGCACCCCACCUCCACCCUCCGCUCCGCCCCCACCCUCCUCGAGUCGAGACGAUCCGUUUCCCCGCGAAUCUGCCUGCUCCGUGGUCUGGUUCCGCUCGAUUCGGCACGCUGGCGAUCCGAGCUGCUUCAGGGGAGUGUCUGGACGCUGGGGUUUUGCUGGUUUGGCAGUCAGCAGUGGUAGCCUGGCCAUGCUCGCGGGCUCUGAGAAGCUGCCGUAGCUGGAUGAUUGAGUCCCUCCAUAGAACAGCCGUAGGCUGCUAGCUCCGGAAGCAUUGUUUGUAACACUAGUGGAUUGUUGCAGUUUGAGCCGCAUGAGCUGUGCUCAUUCGUGCUGUACCAUGUUUGGCGAUGUUUAAUUAAAUAUGCGCUUAGUGAUGGGGUACUAGUGUUGUCUUGCCUUGAGGACCUUAUUGAUUGAUCUUAGUGACAUGAGUUCAAUGGACUUGAUGAGGUAUACCAGGAUUAGAAUCCACUCCUCGAUACGACAGUGUAUUAUGCAUGUACUACACUAAGGAGUGGAGUCUGAUCCUGGAAAACCGGUUUGUUGUGACAUGGGCACUGAAAUCCUUGCACUGUGCUUGUUUCACAUUGUACAAAACCUGGAUGGGCUCAAAAUGUUUAGCAUAAAGGCCCUUUUUUUAGCUUAGAGUCGAAAUUGCUAAGCUGCCUCUUGGUUCUAAAACCCUGUACUAGCUACUAUUUGAUUCUGAUGAUCUUAAGGGGAUGACUUCUGAAUAUUUACUGAAGCCUUUAUUCUACAUUAGUGCUUGGGGCAUUUGAGGAUGCUACUCAUAAUGUCCUUCUACAUUGCAGAGUUUUAUACAUAUGCAUGCGAACUCUUUGAGAUACCCUGCGUUUUCGUUGAUGCCUGCAUAUAAGCUAGCCUAUUGUGUUCUUAAUUUCAGUGCGACUUUGUGUUUCAUGGUAGCAUUUCUUAAUGUUUUGCUCUCUGAUAGUUCCUUUUGUGAAUGUUUUGCCACAGAAAUCGUAUGAGACUAAGCAAUAUAAGAAAGGGCUUAAGGCUGCAGAUUCUAUUUUAAAAAAAUUCCCAGAGCAUGGCGGUAUGUUGAAAGAUAUGUUCUGGUUCUGUAGUUACUUUACUGCUUCCUACAAUAUCUCAUUCCCUCUAUAUUUUGUUCCUUGAAGAAACACUAUCAAUGAAGGGUUUGACGCUAAACUGCAUGGACCGUAAAUCUGAAGCAUAUGAACUUGUUCGACGUGGUCUGAAGGUUACCAUUUUGUGCAAUCAAUUUUGGUUUGAGUCUUUUUUUUGUUGAUUAUCCAAGUAUCAGAACUAACAUGCAUUGAACUUCUUUGCAGAAUGAUCUGAAGAGUCAUGUCUGCUGGCAUGUCUACGGAUUACUUUACCGAUCAGACAGAGAAUACAGAGAAGCUAUAAAAUGUUACAGAAAUGCUUUGAGGAUUGAUCCGGAUAACAUAGAAAUUCUUCGUGACUUGUCACUUCUCCAGGUUGGUGUGAUUUAAAAUAGUAUUUCAUUUCUUUCUUUUGGGACAGUGGUUUUCUUUUGUUUUUCCUCAAUGAAACUUUACCAGCUAAAAUAGGCAAUACACCAAUCACCAAUGGCCCACUUACUGUUAUGUGCACUUCUCAUUUUUCAUUACUGAAUGGCCAAUAAGCAUUUCUUUAAGACUCCUUAUUUCUUCAGGAUCUUAGUACCAUACCUAUAAUUCCAGAGGAAGAUAAUGAAUGUUGUGCAAAUUUGUAGGGAGUGCUGGCAUCACUUAUGUUAUAUGCCAGUGCAUAUUAUUGUUUGAAUAUUGUUGUUUGAAUUUGCCAUGAUCAUCCUUCUAAAAUGUACAAAUGAAUGGUGAACCAGUAAUUAUUUUCCGGGAUAGGAUAUUUUCUGACUCCAAAUAUGUGGAUUUUCACCUUUUCUCACAGGCACAAAUGAGGGACUUGUCUGGUUUUGUUGAGACUAGGCAACAACUUUUGUCCUUGAAGCCAAAUCACCGCAUGAACUGGAUUGGUUUUGCGGUUGCUCAUCAUUUGAAUUCCAAGUAUGCCACUUUCUAAGCAAUGUUGAUUUAAGUCCAUCUUAUGCGUAAAGAUAAUAGCUACUUAGCCCCGUGCUGUAUUUUUUAUGUGUAAAACACAAUUGUGAAAGUCUAGUAACAAAUAUAUGUUUAGGAUAUAUAUUAUUCUAAACAUUGUUGAGUGUCCAUUGUAAACAGCAUUGAAGUAUUAUCGGGUGUAAACUGUGGAGUGACUCUAAUCUUAUUAGCUCAUGGCUUCCUUUGUUGCACAAUUAUUUGAUUUCUCCGAGUGUAUGUACCCGAUAUUACCUGGCUCAUGGCUAUACUGUGCAUGUUUAGAUAGCCCCCCCCCCCCCCCACAAAAAAAAACACAACGCGGCGCGCGCGUAAGUGUUUAGAUAGCCUAAAAGCCCAUUAUUCCAGGGUAUGCCCAUAAGCCCGUGGCUACCUCACUUGUAUAUACCUUACCUCUUAUAAUUUGAAUGCACAAUUUGAAAAAUAUUUUUUUGAAUAUCCAAACUUGUCAAUUUUGUUUUGUUUAUAAUAAAAUUUAUCAGAUGGACACUUUACUCAUCCAUUUAUUCAUGAUCUGCUUGCUAUAGCUCCCUUAUGUUAAGACAAAACAUUUACAGUAUGGAAAGAUUCAUCACUUUGUUUUUUGUUCACCAACCUGUAGUUCCUCCAAGGCAGUAGAAGUAUUGGAGGCAUAUGAGGGGACACUGGAAGAUGAUUAUCCUCCAGACAACGAGCGAUAUGAACACAGUGAAAUGCUGCUGUAUAAGGUGCUUGUCACAUCUCUCUUGUGUUUCUUGGAUAGGUUGCAUUUUGCUUAUUAGUAUUGUUUUCUUUAAAUAUUAAGUAUUGUGCUUCUAUAUAAUUCUUUUUUUUGUCAAUAUUGGUUUAUAUGUCUUUUUUUUGGGCAGAAUAUUGGUUUAUAUGUCUUUAUGCCAUCUAGAUUUGUUUAUUCACUGUAGUUUGGUGUUAGUGUUUCGGUGUCAAUUUAUGUCCACUGUUGUAUUUUGUUCAUUCGCGUUACGUCCACUUACGUUUCCGCCGUGCCAAGUAUGUUGUAUCAGUCAGCACCUAAUUAUUUUUAUAAUGAGUAAAAUGCACCGGCGGUUCCUAACCUUGUAAGGGUGUGUCACUUAGGUCCGUCAAAUUUGAAAAUGCAUUUCUAGAUCCACAAACUUGUAAGGGUGUGUCAGUUUGGUCCGUCAACUCCGAAAGUGCAUUUCUGGGUCCACAAAAUUUUUAAAUUGUUCACCGCGGGUCCAUACAUAUCCACGUAUGCACGAUUGCACGUUGACAUGAUGACUGUACGUUCCCGAGACUGCCGACGUGGAUUAUGAUGAGAAUUGACGCUUUGCCCCUAGUUUUCUUCUCCACCAUGCCAUCUCCCUCCUCUUCCUCUUGGCCGGCGGGUCGCUUGUCGAUCCCGCCACUUGUUGGGGCCACCUAAGGCCGCCGCUCGGGGUGCCUCCCGCUGUGGUGGCUGGAGCCACGUCAGCGAUGUCCGGUCAUCCGGUGGACGUGGUGGGCGGGCUAGAGAGCAGCACGGAUGGAACAACAUCCCGUGUAGGGUUGGAUCAGAUAGAUUGAGAGAGAUGGGAGAUAAAUGAAAUGGGAGACAUACAGUUGCUGUGUAAUGUCAGCAUUACGUGCACACGUGGAUACAUAUGGACUUGCGGUAAACAAUUUAAAAAGUUUGUGGACCCAGAAAUGCACUUUCGGAGUGACGGACCUAAGUGACACACCCUUACAAUGGAUCCAGAAUUGCACUUUCGGAGUUGACGAACCUAAGUGACACCCCCUUACACGUUUAAGGACCGCCGGUGCAUUUUACUCUUUUCUAAUUUUCUUGUCUUUUGGUUCCAACACACAUUAUGAUGAAGUUCCUUUCAUUAGGCUUGCUCUUAUUCAGCUAUUAACUUCCAAGUUCAUGUUGUUCUCCUAGAAUAUGAAUAUUAUAUUAUCCUCAUAGUGAUAUGUAAUCUUAUUGUUUUUUUUAUAGAUAUCAUUGUUUGAGGAAUGUGGGAUGCUAGACAGAGCCCUUGAGGAAAUGCAGAAGAAGGAGAGCAAGAUUGUGAGUCCUAUCCUUUUGUAUCAUAUUGCUUGUAUGUGGUGGUUCUUGGGAGUCCCUGAACAAGAUGUCUGAUUACACCUUUUGUGCCUGUUCAUGUUAACUUUGUGUGCUAGGUUGACAAGCUAUCAUUUAAAGAACAAAUGGCAUCCGUUUUGUUCAAACUUGGCUGCUUUGAUGAAUCUGAGAGCAUUUACAGAUCACUGCUUUUCAUGAACCCUGAUAACUACAAGUGAGUCCCUUGUGUCCCUUUUUUUUUGUACAUAUCUUCAGCCUUAAUUUUGGGCCACUGCAUAAAUGGGUAUCAGAUGACUUGUGCUGUUUGUUUGGGUAUGUUCGGUACUUUGAUCUAUGCAACCAACCUUGCCAGAACAUUUGCUAGGAAAAGUUUUGUCUUAUGUUACCCACGGUUGACCUAGAGUUGACUUGAAGAAAAUGCAUAGGGUCAGAAGUACUAUAGGCAUUACCAAAAUUAGUAAGGUUGUUUUAAGCACGAACCGAACACUACCCUCUAAUGUCAUGUUUGUUCUUAACUUCUUAUCAACUUGAUGUGUUUUCAGCAUUACUUCUUCCACCUGGUUAGUGUUCUCUGACUAAUACAGCUAUAGCAACUAUAGAUAGACAAAAACCCUUGUUGAAUUGACUGUCUCAACCUACCAGUUGGUCAAUGUAAACCUGGGCAGUUGGUUGUCCGCCAAAAAAUUGAUUAGUUCAUGUUGAACAAUUGAGCAUAUGUAGCAUGUGUCGGCCAUGAUCAAGGGCAGAGGCUUAAGUAUGAUUGAGAUGUUCCCAACAUGUUGCAUGGUGUUAAACCAUUUUCCUACUUGGGCACACGUUAUGCAUAUGUACCAAAGUGGACGGUUGUCCUUUUGUUGUAUAUAUCGUAGGGUAGCAUUCUCACCAGCGCCAUUAACACUCUUUGGGUAGAGUGAGGAUGUAUUUAUGGACUUGAUCUACCCAUUGGUGUUACAAUCUUCCUCUACUAGCAUGAAAGAAUAUCAUGCGGAGAACAACCACACAAUCCUGUAAUUAAUCAAAUCUGGGAUUUAGUUGUCCGAUUAAUCCCGAUUAGUCGGAUUUAUCGCAGACUAAUCGCGACUAAUCGUCCAAUCAGGACCUUAUCGGUGCCAUGGCGAUUAGGUUCGAUUAGACGAUCAUAUAACAUUGUGGGAUUAUCAUGUAAGCAUCACAUAGUUUAAUCUUGAAAAUUUGACAAUAGCUUAAACUAUGAAUUUCUUUUGCAUGCUUUGAAAAAUACAUGUAUCUCCUUUCUUUCUAUAUUCUUACUGGCAUUAUAUUCAUAAUCUACCGUUUGCUACUGUUGUUGAUUAAUUAGUUCUCACUGGUUUUGCUCAGAUACUUUAUAGCUGUGCAGAAGUGCCUUGGCCUAUACUCUGAUAAUGGUCAAUAUUCUGCUGAUGAUGUUGAGCGCUUAAGUGCAUUAUACAACUCACUUAAAGAAAAGUAUGCUUGGUCAUCUGCUGUUAAGGUAAACUAUGUUUAACUGUGACUUCAUAUGUAGUGCUUUUUUUUUGUAUCCACUACUGAGCUUUCCAGUGAUACAAAAGUAAUACCUUUAACAUUUGCAUCCCUAAUUUUAUCCUACAUAUGAUGAUAAAUUCUACUUUCCCUGCAUGUAUUUGUAGUAAGCAGGGCAUAUACUUGAGAAUCCAUGAAUCUAAACUUGUACAUCUUUCCUUUGCAACAGCGCAUCCCUCUUGAUUUCCUGGAAGGUGAGAAGUUCCAGGAGGCAGCAGACAGUUAUGUCAGACCUCUAUUAACUAAGGUAUCGUUCAGUUGGUAGUUAGUCCAUAUGGGGUAUCCUUUUGUCGUUGUUUUCUCGUUUUGUUUGCCAUACAGCUUACUAGGUUUUCUAGUCCACAUGUUUUAACUCUUUGGUUAUAAUCAAUUGUAAUGGUAUCCCAUUUUUUCAGGGUGUGCCUUCACUGUUUUCUGAUUUAAGCCCACUGUACGAGCAUCCUGGCAAGGUAACACUAGUUGCACUAUGCAAUAUAACAUCCUGUACUUAUUUACUCACCAUGAUGUAGGUCAGAGAGCCACUUCAUGUUCAAAUUUUUAAUCCAAUUGGCAGGCAAACAUACUGGAGCAGUUAUUUCUUAAAAUAGAAGAUUCCAUUAGGACUUCUGGAUGCUUUCCAGGAAGGUAACCUGUAGUGCCUGACAAGUGCUGCUUAUUGAUUCAUUGUUUGUUACCCAACAAUUAUGUGGUGUCCUUUUGCAAUGCAUGAAGUUCUAAUUUCUUGACUAGAAUCCUAUAUGAAAUGGUAAGAUGGUCCUGUGAGGCAAUGCUUCCUAAUUACACGAAAAGCAACUUGUUGAACUGUGUAAAAUUUUCACGUGUUCAGUAUGGAUACCAGAUUUGGCAACGACUAUACUGUAAAAAGUUUAUAAAUAGUUUUUGCCCCACUUGUCAAUCUCGUGCUUGUUAACUAUCACUGUUACUUAAUCUUAUUGUCAAUAAUAAUUAUCUUAUUUUCCUAGAAAGCAGUCUUAAUAACAAAUGGAAUACUGAUUGUCAAUAUGUGAACUUUCUUUUAUUUACUAUUUAUUUUCAAUGUCUUGCUUUGCAGCCCACAAAAGGAGCCUCCUUCCACACUAUUGUGGACUUUGUUUUUGAUUUCCCAGGUUUGCAUUCGGCCCACCAUUUUUAGAUACAUUUCUCAAUUUUUUAUUGAAAUAUUAUGGUCUCGAACAGUUAUGUUUCCCUUUAAUCUUAUCUAAUGCAGCACUAUGACAGAAGAGGCCAGUAUGAGAUUGCUUUUAAUAAAAUUAAUGAGGCUAUAUCACAUACACCAACUGUCAUCGAUUUAUAUUCAGUCAAGGUUUCUCUCGCACUCAUCUGAAACUUGGAUUAAGUUCAGUUUAAAUGCAGUGAUUUUGUUGCCUAGCAACUUUUUUGUUUGAUAUGUUGGUCUCUCUUCUGUUAAUCUAUGUAUCUGUAGUGACCCAGCUCCGAUCUCAUCACUAUAUAAACUUGGCAGCAUCAAUACGGUUUUUUAGUCUUUUCUGUUGUAUGUUAGGUUAAAGGGUUCAAUUGAUUAUAUCACAUUAAUCUCUUAAGUCAAAGGCACAUGCUGUUACACUAAUGCGUCUGCUAAUACCCAUGAUUCCUUUCCAGGGAAAGAUAUUGCAGCAUGCUGGCAAUUUUGCAGCAGCAGCCGCAUUAGCAGAUGAAGCUAGGUCCAUGGAUCUUGCUGAUCGCUAUUUAAACAGCGAGUGUGUUAUGCAGAUGCUUCAGGCUGACCAGGUAACUAAAUUAGGAUCAGUACCCUUUUUUUUUCUGUAACCGUUAUAUUGCUAUUAGUGCUGCUUUUGAGUGCAGUCAAUUUAUCUAAUUGCCACUCAUUCAUAAAAAAGCCUCUAGAUUUGUCGUGUGGAAAUGAUAAUUUUAGGUUUACCAUAAAAAACAUCCAUAUCACCAUAAAUUGUAUGAUUCUUUUUCCAACAUAUAAUUAGGAAAAAAGGGUAAUGUGUGUAUUAGAGGAAUGUCAAUUCAAAUGCUGGGUUCAAGAGCAAGGAGGAAAUAAUACAGAUUCUCUAGCAUUCAUCCGAAAAGAAAGCACUGGAGUUUCUUGGUUUUGUAUUUGCUACCUUUUUACAUUUAGCUCUUUUUCGUGACUUAUGAAGGUUGGGCUGGCGGAGAAGACUGCCGUCUUGUUUACAAAAGAUGGUGAUCAACACAAUAAUCUUCAUGACAUGCAGUGCAUGUGGUAUGCGCUCUUUCCAUCUGCCAUCCAUCUCUCAUGUUCUCUUUCUAUCUCUAAUAACUUUAUGAUCUUACAACACUUAAGGUAUGAACUUGCUUCUGGUGAGAGUUAUUUCCGUCAAGGUGAUCUCGGCAGGGCCCUAAAAAAUUUCUUAGCUGUUGAAAAGCAUUACGCUGAUAUGACUGAAGAUCAAUUUGACUUCCAUUCGUAUUGCUUACGGAAAAUGACACUUCGAGCAUAUGUUUCUAUGCUGAAGUUUCAAGAUCGUUUGCAUGCUCAUGAAUACUUCCACAAGGCUGCUGCUGGAGCUAUCAGGUAAUCUUUGUUUCUGUUUUUUUAUUACCUAGUGCUUCCAUUCAGGAUAUUUGGUGAUACUAGCAAACUGUAGGUGCUAUAUGAAACUACAUGAUUCUCCAACAAAAUCUUCUACUGAGGAAAAUGAUGAGAUAUCAAAACUACCACCUGCUCAGAGGAAGAAAUUGAGGCAAAAGCAGAAGAAAGCAGAAGCGCGUGCUAAAAGGGUACUCUGAAAAGCUUAGCAUUGGAUCUUUGCCCCCUUUAACUGGCAGUAUCAAUAGUUCUCUGAUUUUGCACCCCAUAUUCCUCCAGGAGGCUGAAGAGAAACAGGAGGAUGAAACAGCAUCAUCCAACACUUCAAAAUCUGGAAAGAAACAAAAUGCAAGACCUGUUGAUCUGGACCCACAUGGUGAAAAAUUAGUUCAGGUAUUCAUCUUCGCCACAGGGCUUAUCUAAACAUGUCAUUUUUUUAUCAGUUUUUGGUGGUGACAAUUUGUGAUGAAUUCUUUGGUUAGUCGUUAUCUGUGCAAGCUUGAAGCUGGAACCUUUUAUGCAAAUUCUUGUUUGCAGAUUGAGGAUCCGCUUGCAGAAGCCACGAAAUACUUGAAGCUCCUGCAGAAUAACUCGUCAAGCUCAUUAGAGACCCAUAUACUUUCAUUUGAGCUCAACAUGAGAAAACAAAAGAUUUUACUUGCUUUCCAGGUAUGUGGUUUCUAUCUAAUAUGACACUGUGGCCCUACUCAAAUCUCUUGUUAUGAUUCUUUGCCGUUUGUUUACAUCUUGGUAUUCUAUGACAGUAUGAUCUAUUUCUCUGACUAAAAAAUCGUGAAAAUGUUCCUAGCAACAUUUGUUUCUAUGUAAAUUCACUGAUGCUAGUUACACACUGGCUGUCAAUAGUUAUAAGCUUACAGCGUCUAGUUAGUGACAUUGUAGAGAAUUACCCAACACGCUGCCUGUUCUCUGAGCAAUGUCACUGAAACUAAAUAUUCCAAACCAUCUCCUAAGACAUGUAUAUGUAUCAAGGAAGUGUUAAAUAUGUGUAAAUGCUAAAAACUGCAUAUUUCAUUGGCAAAUAGAGAAGUGGUGAAUCCAACCAUUUUUUACCAUUAGAUAUAGGCUAGUUGGUGAUAAUAACCUCGUUGUAAUAUGGAAAAAUGAAACGGGUGAAAUCAUUCUCGGAUAGGUUUAUAUAUUACUUCCUGAUAAGACAUUGGCGUGAUUCCCCAAUUCCUGAGCAUCAUCUUCUUCAGUAAGCGUAAUAGUUUAAAAAAGUUCUGAUAACUUAUCUAGUUGAAAGCAUGUUGAUUAGUAUUAUAAUGGUUUACUUGCUAGUUGGUUAGUAUUAUAAUGGUUUGAUUGCGACAUGAUCUUAAUUUGUUCCAUUUCGUUCGACAUAUGUCCUAACUCUUUGUAAUCCAUCUUUAAUUUCAGGCGGUUAAACAGCUCAUUAAAUUGGAUGAGAACAAUCCAGACAGUCACCGCUGUUUGGUAAGCUUCCAAAAUUACACCUUGCAUCAAGCUCUUCUUUCAUGAAUUAUGCGACAAGUCAUAAUAAGUUUCUCUUAAUUCAUUAAACUAAUGAUCUAGUAACAGCUAUUUAGAUACCAGAGUGGAGGUUUUCCUUAUGUAUUUAUGGGUCUGAGAACAAUGCCUCGAUUUGAAUUGCCUCAUGCCAUACAAAUUGGCUGCACUUGAAGUCUUACCAUAGGUUUAUACUCCUGUCGCUUCUUGUUUGGAUGUAAGUUGGUGAGCUUAAGGCUGUUCAUGGUCUUUUGCCUAUCCACUCGAAAUCAAAUGCUAACAAUGUCAAAUAAGGAGUCACUGUUGCAUUACAUGAGUUCAUGGUUUCAGGGCCUUGAUAAUAGUUUCUAGUGCUCGAUUUCAUUGUGAUAGCACUUAGAUUCAUAUAGAAUGAUGAGUAUUUUGGUUGUCAUUUUACAUAAAACUGAAAUGUAACUACUACUUGAAAUGGAUAUGAUGGUGAACUGGUGAAUCCCCCAUCCAUUAUGAUAGUGCUCUUUCGUAGAAUAUCACGAUGCGUUCUAAGCAUCAUACUUUGCUUAGGUGAGGUGAUGGUUAUUAGUGGUGUUUUUGUUAUAUACAGUGAAAAUGAGUUCUAAGUUGUUGAUCGAUGACAGGCCACAUUAGUGGUGUUUUUGUUAUAUACAUUAAGUUUAUUAUUUGUAUUUUGAAUACUUUAGCUGAAUAAGAAAAGAUAAAUCCCAUCAAUUUGUUUCGUUGUUAUUUAUUUACUACUUGAUCUGAGUUUGCAGAUAAAGUUCUUCCACAAGAUAAACAGUCUUCCUACUCCUGGGACUGAUUCUGAGAAGCUAAUUUGGAAUGUCUUGGAAGCCGAACGACCAGACAUAAGGUCUAAUCCGAUACUUGCUCGGUCACUGUUUUUAUGAUGUUACUUGACUAACAAUGUUGUUACAGGCAAUUACAUGGGAAGUCUCUCAUUGAAGUAAACAGAAGUUUCCUCGAAAAACACAACGGUAACUAUUCUGAUGUUCUUUAUUGCUAUUCCCUGAUCAUGAUCUUACUCUUUCUUGUCUAUAUUUCUUUGCCAGCUUCGUUGACGCACCGAGCAGCAGCUGCUGAAAUGAUGUAUCUCUUGGAGCCAGAUAAGAAGAUGGAGGCAAUUAAAUUAAUUGAAGAUUCGACAAACAACGCAUCUUCAGGGUAAAGACAUAAAACCACCUCUUUUUUGUUCACCUGCUCUGUACAGAAUGUUUACAUUUUCCAAUUUUAUGCAGAAAUAAUGUGCUUGGUCCUGUGAAUGAAUGGCAAAUUCAAGAUUGUAUUGAUGUUCACAAAUUGCUGGAGACAGUCUUUGGCGACCAGGAUGUUGCAAAUAGUAAGUUCCGAAACUGUUGUGCCUGUAUUGUGCCACAUGCUAAAUUGUUUUCCCAGCAAUGAUGUAGCUUUUCCUUUCCUCGAGCUGAGUCCUCGUAGCCUUUGAUUCUAGCAUUUCAUGAAUACAUGCCACCUGGUGCCUAAUAUUGCAUUAUUUCAUUAGUAAUUUAUUUGGUGCUUCCAAUGCCAUUCUUGAGGUUUAUGCUGGCACUUUCUUUGUAUUUGAUAGGACCAUUAGUAUGGUCACGAUGUCAGUUCUGGAUGCUCCAGGUGCAACAUAUAAUAUGGUGUGCCAACAGAUCCUGUCUAUUAAUCUUGCGCUCAGGAAUAACCAUACAUUUUCAACAGGGUGGAAGACACGCUGUGCAGAAUAUUUUCCUUACUCGACAUACUUUGAAGGCAUCAUGAGUGCUAUUGCAGCAUAUGUUGUCGACCAUAAUCUCGAGAAUUCACCAGAAAAUGGAAUUGCCCCAAAUCCUCAGUUGAAAUCAAAUGAGGGAGAGCUAGGUGCUUUGAAUGGAACUGUGCAUAUUGUUGAUGAUUUGAGCAGCUUAAGCAUUCGGUGAUGCAUCAAGUAGCUGCCUGGUUACAUCUGGAACAGAACAUAUUUUAGAACUGGAGCCAGUACCCAAUUGACCAAAGUGCACAGACACAAAAGGGGGAACAAAGUGCCCUGGUGCAAUUACUUGUCGGCGCAUUUCAUUUGAAGAGUAUAUUAUUGGUUGGGAGCUGAGGUCUCUUCAAUGUGGUUAUUAUCUCAGUUCCAGCUUGUACCUUUUUGUUGCCAUUUUGUAGACAGUGAAAGAAUAACCUUUUGUCCCAGAUAUGGUGAAGUUUGUGCCAGCGUUUGUUGCCUGGUAGCAUCAGGGUGUGAUGAUUCACUUGAAGCAGCGGGUCAUGGAUUCGUUGUGUGGGUCGUUCUAUUGUCUACCGCUACUCGCUCACUCUUGUUGAACUACAAAAUUUUGGCAUAAAGCAGGUGUAUAAUCUUAAACCUUUUUUAAUUUACAACAUGUGUUUCGUGAUGGUGUGUCUGGGGUUGCCUUAAUCCCUUUGCUUUUGUAUCUUUUGCUCCUCGACAUUGUAAAUUAGUUAACCUUGAACAUAGAAAUUGUAUUUCAGUUGUCCUGAGAAAUAAUGAUCAAUGUUAACUGUGGGUGUUUCACAUAUGCAAUGUGUUGGGAAGCCUGCAUUCACUUGUUUGAUGGGAGAAGCGACGUGAUGUUGCAUCUAAUCUUUAUGACAAUCUAAUCUUAAUCCCUGGUGCUGUUUGUUGUUGGUGAAAUCACGCAUCUAGUUUUAUUGUAAUUUUUUUGGCACGUUUUUCUGUAUUGUUUAUUGUUUUUGUUAACAUAAAUCUGAUAUAGACGCAAUAGGGCCUGUUUAUCAAACGCACACACGCGACUAGUAAACAGCAUGCAAAAGCACCACCACUUCUCGAGGCUGAAGCAGUUUUGGGGAACGGGAUUCGCCUGCAGUAAAAAAGAAAACUAGCUUAUUAUUUUUUUUGUUGAUUGUCUAGUCUUUAGUAGUCUUAUACGCACCUCUGCAAUGUAUUUUUUCCACAGAACAAUAUAAAUUCAAAAGAAAAAAAUCGUUAAAUGUGGACAUGUGGUGCGCCGUGCCCGUGCUCCCUUACGGCCGUCAGCAGCUUGCAGGAUACAGCGGCGAACCAAACGGAACAUGCGGGGACCGGCCGGCCGGCUGGCGCAUGUUAGAGCAGCACCGGCCAGCCCCACCGCUGCCUCAUGCUCGUUCACGUGCCCCCGGCGUGGCGGUGUUGUGACUCGUGAGGCCCAGGCCUAAGCAGCGGGACGGCCGCGCGUCGUUGGCGACAGAAGGAUACGCGCCGGCGCCUCUUUGGCCGCUGGCCGCUGCCGGUGGCGUGGCGGUGUCAGCGCGGCAGGUGGCGGCGCGCCCUCUCUCCGCUGCACCCGAGCGCCCAUGUACCCCUGGUCCCUGGAUGCUGAGCCGCGCGCCGUCCGUCGGAGUCGACCGGUGGGCCGCGGGUUCGCGUGUCAUGUCGGCGCGCGCGGUCGCCGCAGGCAAUAAUAAUUGGCGCGCAUCGGGGACGGGGAUGAGCCAGAGGGUGGCCCCGGCCCCGGCCUGGAGCCUCACGUGCUCCCGUUCCCGAGGCAGCUCCAGCAGCCUGCAGGCGCACCUGCGCGCGGUGCAGCCCACCGGCGGCCCGUGAUCAGAGGAGCGAAUCAAUCUCGUGACUCCCCAGGCCCGGCCGGAGGCGGAGGCGGAGGCGGAGCAGGGCGCUGCCCCGGGAUUCGCCUCGUCCCACCCGGGCCAGGGAUUUUGUCGCCGUGCUGCGUCCUCGCCUUUCUCGCCGUCACGCCAAGGCCAAGGGCGGGCACGCUGACGGCGCCCCUCGCCGGAAUGGCUUGUCUAGCCAGCGCGCCCCUCGAGUGGCAGCGGCGUCAGUGAUUUGUCGCGCACGUGCAGGGGCCGGGCCGGCGUGGCGAGCGCGCGAGGGCGAGGGCCUUCAUCCAUUUGUUUUUGUUUCCUGCUCUGCCAGUCGCCUGUAAGGCUAUCUCCAACCGUGGUUCUCUACAUGCUUCUUUAUAUCCGUCAUUUACAGACUUCUCUACAAGAUUCUCUCCUCUAUAUCUCAUUUCUCUCCAACAACAUUCUCUAAAUCUCGUUCUCUAUACAUUAAACCCUAUAUUAAAAAUGUAUUUUAUUCCAAAUUUUUGUACGUACGUAUUUAUCAUACCUCAAAUGCUAUGGACAUAUUUUAUUUUCAUUUAAUCCAGUGUUUAAAACGUAAAGAAAAAAUAGAGAAGAGGAGAGAGAAUCUCUAUAUAUAGAGGAAACCUGUAGCGUUCUCUAUUUUAGAGUGACAUUUAGAGAACGCUGCUGGAGUAUAUAGAGAACGGAAUCUUCUCUAUAUAGGGUAGAGAACGGUUUAGAGUCUCCCGCUGGAGACAGCCUUAGUAUGCUACUUGCUCCAUCCCCGUCCAUCCUAAAACAAUGCAAACUCUCGCUCUUCCCAAAAAAUCAAACAAUUUUAAAUUUAAUUAAAUUUAUACAAAAUAAUGUUAAAAUUAUUGUAAAAUUACUACCAUUAGAUUAAUUAUAUAAUAUAUUUUCAUUUAGAGAUAUAAAUAUUAGUAACUUUUUAUAUAAGUUUGGUUAAAUUUAUAAUUGUUUGACUACUUAGGAAGCAAGAGUUAUAUUCUUUUAUGUACGGAGGGAGUAGGAUCUAGGACGUUAAUUAGUCAAUCAUAUCCAUUUUCUAUACUCCACAAGAUCAGUCGAAGCACGUAGAUAAAUUAACCAACCCUCUCUGUGGUCCUAGCUAUACUUCGCUAGUAUCCCACCGGUUGAUACAGGAUUACGGGAUCUUUAAUUUGUUGCCAUGUCCCCUCUUGGACCUCCCCCUCGUGACUCAGCAUGGCACCAUGGUAAAAAGAAAAAAUCCAGAGCUGCUCGGGCCUCGAGUCCUUGACCACAAUUAAGAUCCUGCCGUCAGUCAGCCGGCCACUCCACUCCACGCAUGUUGCAUGAAGGAUGCACAGCAUCGAUCCCCACUUCUGUGCUACCCUAUAUAUUCUCAUUUUGGCUGCAGGUUCGGACGGCCAGCUGAUUCCCCAUUCUAUUUUAUAAUAAUAUAUAUUUUUAAGAAAAUAUUUUUAUAAUAUAAUGUGGAGGCCUGCAGAACAAUGCCUGCUUAUAUUCUUUUCAUUUCAUCGUGACCUCGGCUCGGGACAUGUCUAGGCUUCUUUGCGCCUUGCAUUGGUACACUAGUAUAUGUUUGGAUGGAGUGUUCAAGAGGGUGGGGAUGGGGUCGAUCCAGAUCGUCCCGUGUUUGGGUGGAGUUUCACGUGGGUUGGAGUAGAUCCGGACGGAAAUAUUCCGUCCAGAUGCAGGUUGGAUUGAUUUCUUCAAAACGAGUGGAUCAAAUGAACCUGCUUCGUCCCCGAGGCAGAUGGACGACGCGAGUGCUGUCCAACGACGGUGCCAGCAGCGGGGCGGGUGGAGGCCAGCACGGUGAGCGGUGGGGCGGCACGAGGUCUAUGACCGGGGGCGCACGGCCGCACGGACGAGCGGCACGAAGGCAGGCGGUAGGCGAGCGGCUGGCCAGCGAGGAGCACGAUGGCAAGUGGGGGCGCGACAUCGUGGCGGCGGGCAGACGGCGCUGUGCAGGCUGGCGAGCCGGGGCGCGACAUCGUGUGGGCGCGCAGCGGGCCGGCGCUGCCGGCGAGGGGGUGGCGGGCGGUAGGGCGCGACACGGCACAGAGCGGGCGAGCGGCCGGUGGCCGGCGCACAAGCCACGAGUGGCAGCCGAUGUGGAGGCGGACUAGCAGCAGAGGAAGAAGAAGAUAGGAUUAAGAAAAAAAAGAUAAGUUAAACGGGAAUGAUACGUGGCAUCCACGACUGGCUAGUGGGUCCCAUAGAUAAUUGUUGCUAACUGUAUGAUAAUAACAUCUAUCUCAUCCCUUCCAAUCUUCCUAACCAAAUAAAAAGCUAGGAUGAACCAGUCUUAGUCAACCAAACACGAGAUGGUUCAACCUAAGUAUUCAACCCACAAAAUAGGGAUAGAUCCAACCUAUUCCACUUGAUCCCAACCAACUACAUGCUAGAAUGCUUAUGCAUACAUGCUCCAUUUUACCAAUAAUAAAAUACUAUUGCCAAUAAUAAAAUACUACUGGAUAUACAUGAAUCGGCCAUGCGUUUCAUGGAGCAGUAGAAGAUCAGCAUGCACAACUCGCCUGACGGGUCGAGGACUCGAGGGACCGUAUCUUUUUGUCCGCACAGUCACCUGUGACUCAGCCACGCCACUUGCAUGCAGGACAGACAGCAGGAGGUGCAGACAAAAACCCCUCCACCCUCCACUCCAGCCACACCCAUGCAAAACAAAACUGUUCAUCUGUUCGUCAUCAUGUGCAGUAAAACAGUGGUAAUAGGCACACCAGAACAGAACCUGCUCAGCUCGGGUCAGGGCAAUGAUCAGGCGACCGACGUGUGAUCUACCAGGGACGAAGCCACAAAAUAUUGUCGCCGGUGUCAGUGUAGAGUAUUUAACUCAUAUUUAUGAUAGUGUGAUACUACAAUUCCAUAGAUAACAUAAUAAAAACUAAACGAUGAUAUAUAGUAUAUUGUUUUACAGUAGUAUUCCCUUUGCAAUUUCAAUUUCUCUCUAUGAUUAUGGCCAUCCAUCUUGUGAAAGCGCACAAUAAUAUCAUCAUUUGGAAUGGUAGCCAGAAAUCCUUGUUGCACGAAGCAUACGAUGCAAUCAUUCAUAAAUUCAUCACCGAUUCGAUCGCGCAGUACGUCUUUCACAAUUUUCAUUGCCGAAAAGCACCUCUCCACUUACGCAGUAGCGAUAGGAAGAACAAGUACAAGCUUCAGUAGGUGAUAUACCAAAGGAAAAGAAAGAUGUUUAUUUGUUUGCACCAUCAUCCUACCAAGCUCAGAAAUAUUAUUCAACUUGGCAAAUCUUUCAACAGUCUCACAUUAUCGAUGUAAAUAGGAAGCUCACAAGCAAGAUCUUUUAGUUGUGUUGAAUCAAAAUCUUCUAGGUAUGACUAAGCCAACUCCAUCAAACUCUCAAAUUUGUAAGCAUCAAAAGAAUUCUUGGGAUCAAAAGAGGAGAGUGGAGAGAGUGUGCAGAAAAUCUGAAUAUGCAACAACCAGUAUAAUGAGUUAUCAAAAUAAUUAAUCCCUUACCUGAUAUUUUGCUUUUGCUACAAAAAUGAAUUGAAGAAGCUAACAAGGCUCUUCCUGUCCACUUGUAUCUGACGUCAAAACACUAGUUCCUAACAGAGUAACAGAUUGAAACAAUAAACAUUCAGACUUCAGAAAUUGCACCGAGAUUGCACUGAAGAUUGGGAGAAUUGAUGUUUUGGGGUAAUCAGUACCUGAUCUCAGAGGCUCAGAGCCUCAGACCCAUGGCCAAGGCUGCAGGAGCCGCGGAGUUGCCAGUUACCACGGUGCCGUUGUCGCGUGCGGACGAGAACCGAGAAGACGCCGACGGGAAAUUGGAAACAAAGCGUCGCUGCGUUGGACGGACUGCAGAGCAAUAAACAAGAGGCCUGUGUGGUUGUGCCCUGUGAUGGGCUGGCCCAUUGCAUAUUGAGUUUUUACGUCAUUACGUGAAUGGCAGGGCAGAGAUUAGAUAAUGCCCUAAUGGUCUAUGGGCAGGACGUCUGGCUGGCUGUUGGGCUGCCGACUGCCGAUGUCAACAUUUUUUUUCACCGGUGUCAUAGCAAGCAAUAGAUAUGUGGGUAUAAGAGUUUAUUGCCAAGUUAUCGUUGUCAGCUGACAACGAUACUUGAACGUAGCUCCGCCACUGUGAUCUACUCAUCAUCAGAACCCAUCGACCACAGGGCAGCGUCGCGUGCGCGCGUUCCUGGCCAAGCCCACGGCGCAACAAGAACACCACGCGGUCGAACCAGCUAGUUAGGGCCGAGGGUCCGUGGCACACCGCGCGCACGUAUGUGGGCAGGCUAGCUGCGGGGCAUGGACGUGCACGCGCUCGUGAUUCUGCGAGAUACCAUGGCGACGCCUUCAGCAGUUGAGCUUCCAAGCUAGUAGCCGCGACACGGCCACAUGUGUUGAGCAAUGUUGGACAUCCGAUCCCUGAGCUGCCUGCGGCUUCCUGCCUUCCUCUACUUGACAUUUACUUUCUCAAAAAAAAGAUACUUGACAUUUACAGCAUGGAUAGCUUGAUUACAACCUUAGACCAAGUACGUUGCUACACGUCAGUUGUCUCAUAGAUUAUCUCAUGCAGAUCCACGUAGAAUUUUUAAUGAUGUUGAGGAGAGAGGAGAAGGAGAGAGAAUGAGAUGGUUGAUUCGCGAAACAACUGUCUCAUAGUAUAAAAUUAAGCACUAUAAGAUUGCUUACUCAACAUUGUACGUGCCGUUCUUAUCAUGCUAUUUACAAUAUUCUUUUUUUAUUUCACAAAUUAAGGGAUAUAGUACUAUAACGAGACAACAAAAAUGACAACCUACAGUGUUGCAAUGGUUGUACGUUCAACCAUCUCACAAUGACGUGUCAUCACAUAAGACUGUUCAUUACCAAUCAUUUCAGUAAAUCUAGAUAUAUAAUUUUUUCUAUAUAUGUAAAUAUAAUGUAUAACGUAAGUAUAGAUUGAUGCAUAACAAAAAUAAUAAAUUUAGAAAAAUUAAGAUAACCUAUAAUUUGAAACGGAAGGAGUACGCAUCAUGACUUUGAUCCGGUUAAGCAUCCUCUAGCCAGUUAGAAACGAAAGGACAAAGGGUUGCAGUUCGUUCCGCACUAGUAUAGAAUUCCUAAGUAGUCCCGGUUUCCAACCCUCUUUUGGUCCCGGUUCCAUAACCGGGACUAGGAAUCCGAAACUAAAGAUCCGAAUUAUUAGUUCUACUUUCCACACUCGGGACUAAAGGUCCGUGGAAAGACAAAAAAUUACUCCGUGCCUAAGGACUCAAAUCUGAGACCACUUGCCUGACGCACAACUUUUUUACCACAUGUGGCUUUGAAUGGGAUAUUUUUCUUUUAAACUAACCAGUGAAGGACACUUUAGUUCGGGUUGGAGCUACCAACCAGGACUAAAGGGUCAUCCUUUAGUUCCGGUUGAUAUUACCAUCCGGGACUAAAUGCAGGACUAAAUAUUUAUGAAUUUUACUUCUGGUUGGAGCCAUGACCAGGACUAAAGUAUGAUUUUAGUCCCGGUUGGCUCUAAUCGGGACCAAAACUCCCCACCGCCCCUAGCUGUUGAUCCGGGACUAAAGUCUUCAUUAGUUCUGGGUUCAAAACUAGUUUUGAUAAAUGAGAAGGAUGAAUGAUUUAUGCAGCAGCAGUACCGACAAUGGAAUAUAUAUAUAUAUAUAUAUAUAUGUAUGUAUGUAUGUAUGUAUGUAUGUGUAUAUGUGUGUGUGUGUGUGUGCGUGUAUAUAUAUAUAUAUAUAUAUAUAUAUAUAUAUAUAUAUAUAUAUAUAUAUAUAUAUAUAUAUAUAUAUAUAUGCUAUCCGGCAUCGGAUUCCAGCCGUCUGACACUGCAGAUAUACAGUACUCAAUUUGGCGAGACCAUGGGGGAUUAAUAGUUAGACUAAUUAAUUGCUCUGCUAGGAGUAGAUUAGGAUAAGGUUAUCCCUCCCCCUGGUCUGCUACUCUGCUCCAUCAUUUCCCGUAUAUGGUGCGGCCUGUGUCGGCCCGGCCGGCUCUCCGUCGGCUAUAUAUCAUCGCGCGCCGUGCUGUCCCUUGCGCUGUCGGCCCUCAUCGAACACUGCUUGCAUAAAUACGGAGUAGUAGUAUACUCUAUGCAGCGAAAGGCUCAGUAGUGUUGUCCUCUUGCUUGCUUGCUUGCUGCACAAACUAAAUAAACCAAUCAUAUCGCCUUUUCCAUCUGCACGCACUGCUCCCAAACUACGCUAAUAAUACGUUCCCGGGCCGUAUUCCGCAAAAAGAUAGCUAAGGCCUCGUUUGGCAUAGUUCAGCUCCAUCUAUUUUAUGUAAAUUGAGAUACUGUAGUAUGGAGUUGUUUUAUAAGCUCGUACUAGAAACCAAGGAAAGAUAGUUUUUCUGAUUUCACCCGCUUCAGCUUCACCGGUGAACCUGUUUUGGCAUAGCUUCAGCUUCUGCUAAAACGACUCCCCGAAGCAACUUCUUUGAUAAAGAUAAAACUGUUUUCAAAACCGUUUGGCGAAACGUGGACCUAUGAAAGAAGCUGGGUGAAACUAUGAUUUCCGGCUUCUUCUUUCCAGCGUAAGCCAGAAACAGCUCCACUAAAUGCUUUAUGGAUGAAGCUGUUGGAAAAAUACCCUUUUGGCACAACUUCAUGUGAAGCUUUUUUUGAAAUUCUUCAAGAAGCUGUGACAAAGGAGCUCUUAGUUUUGAGGAAAAGAUAUUUUAUAUAUAGAUCAACAAAUUCGUUUCAUCGAGUUGAUAUAGCCAUAUACAUAAAGGUCGUACCGACGAAUGAUUUUGGUUAGCUUCCAUAAAAUCAAGUGCCUGAGAUGCCACUUUUUCUCUCAUAAUCUUGAACUUCCACUCUUGUUAGAGUCCCUGAGAUGCCACUUUGUUAUACUGCGAGUGCUCCCGCUCGCUUCGAUGGAUGAUGGGGCAACUAGCAAAACUAUCUUUUGAGUUCCCCCUUUCAGCAUACUUCGCGUUUUAGCCGGAUGCUGCGGCACAUGCCCAUCCCCAUCCUCUUCAACAACCAGACAGUGCAAGCUGAUCCUCAUAUUUUGCUUCAAUUGGCAGCAUCAGGCAGUGUCUAUCUGGUGGAUUUAAUUGCAUAGUAACCCUCCUGGAGUCCUGCUGGUUUAGUAGAGUGGGCACGGCGAAGGGACUAGAGCGGGCACGUGCCCGCUGCAUCAUGCAAGUACGCGUAACAGUGACACGGACAUGGACAUGGUCACCCAAACAGCACAGGUACGGUGCAUGCUCAGGUAUAGCGGCUGGCCAUUAUCAGCAAAGCUGCUCAAGUGCUCAGCAUCUAAAACUGCAUUCCAAGUCUUACCCGAUGAGAAAUGAAAUUUGCCUAACUUGUUUUCUGAUCAAACCGGUCGAAUCUAAUCCUGAACAUCUCCAUACCAUUUUUCCCAUUACUGCACGAAAGAUGGAGGCGUUCGAGGUGACUGGAAGGAAAAAUAGAGGAAUUGUAAAAGAAGGCUUGUAGCGCAGUGGUUGCAACACCUCUAGGUUGCGGGUUUGAGUACUCCUCGUGUGAGCGAAUCUCCAAGCUGAUUAAGAAGUCUCUCUCGCUAGCAAAAUCGGGGUUCCGGGAUCUCUUGGCGGUAGAAGCUUGACCUUCUUCUUUUUUAAAAAAAGAGGAAAUUAUAAAGGACACAAAACAUUUUGUCCAUGCUUUGGUGGAAGCUCUAAUCUUAUGCCUAUGUUUAUAAUUCCACUGGAUGUUCUGAUCGAUGUCGCGAUGCAUAACAUGAAAUUGUUGUGUUUUUCUUAGGGUGUUAUCUUUUGCCGGUUUCCAUAUGUCAUAGGAUUCGCGAAGUUGGGCAAUUUUUCACAUUUUGAGAAUCCCCGUUUUAAAUAAAGCCUUGGUAACGGAUGUUGGCGCUGUUCGGUGAUGACCUUACUAGUGCCGAGUCCUGUCCUUACCAGCAAUCGCAGUCAGAAAGGCAACAAAGAUUUUCCAAAACCAUGUUGUUUGCAGCGAGAACGCUACAUUUUCCACUCCACGACAAUUUGCAGAUCUUGUAUAUCCUCUGAGAUCCAACGACACUACUGAACGAGCAAAAUCCAUGGCAAGCUGCCAAACCAGCGAGGCCCGGGGGAGGGCAAGAUUGGCAUUUGCUUUCCAGCUUAUCCACUUGAGGGCCUACCAGUCUACCACUACCACCGCUGGUCCACGCAUGCAAAUGCCAAGUCUUGUGGGCCCUUUCUCACCAUAUUACUGUAUUUUUAUUAAAAGGAAAAAAGCUUUCCAUUAAUUUAUAGGCUCAGCGAGAUCGC
rnacentral:lncRNA from 1 species